AAAAAAAAAAAAAAAGCCCUAAAAUGUUUAAAAUCAAAAGGCAAGAGACGGCCUGCGGCGAGCCAGCGAGGCAGCGCGUCCGGGACCCUUCCGCUACCGCGUCCUCCCGCCCGCGGUCAUCCCCAGUCGGCUGCGGCGGGCGCAGAGAGCGGCUCCAGCACUGUGAAGAUGCGAGGAGUCCAGAAUCCUACCUCAUGGAAGCGUGCUGCCUACACUCAGGGUAGACAUUCUUUGGCAUCCAAUGAAUCUAUCAAGACUUUUUACAAGCAUGUACAGAAGAUUGUCUCCAGGUGAUGUUAGACCCUGUCAGUAUUAACCAUCACUGAAAUCAGAGGAUUUUGGAGAUGCCAGGAACACCUAGCAGCCUUGAUGGAUCCUGAAAUAUAUCAGGAUCUAGAAGGAGGCCAGAGGCUGCUGCUGAAAGCAUUUGCAUUUCCCAAAUGCUAUGGUUUUUUUUUUUUUUUUUAUAGUCAUCACUACCAUGCAAUGUGCAGGCAUUAAAGGUAAAGAAUGGAGGUCCAGAAACCUUUUCCAUUUCCCACUAACCUUCAGUUUUAUGAUGACCACAGUCUCUCCAGGGGAGAUGGCCUGUGCCUGUGGAAGCAGUAGAGGUCAAAAUGAGAAUGUCUCCAGAAAGUCACAUGUUUGGUCUCCAGUGGCUGGAACUGUUUGGGAAGGAUCAGGAGGUGUAGCCUUGUUAGAGGAGGUGUGUCACUUGGGGUUAAGUUCUGAAGUUUCGAAGGGUUCUGCUUCCAACUUUGGAAUCAAGAUGUGAGCUCUUAGCUGUUCCUUCCAUCAUGGACUGUAAACCUCUGAAAUUGUAAGCCCAAUUGAAUUGUUUUUUUUAAUUAAAUUAAUUUUUUUUA